GGACGGGUGGCUGAGUGGUUAAAAGCGGCAGACUGUAAAUCUGUUGACAUUGUGUCUACAUAGGUUCGAAUCCUAUCCCUUCCA
rnacentral:tRNA from 1 species